rnacentral:rRNA from 1 species
UACGAACUGUGCAAACGUUAUUCGGAAUCACUGGGCUUAAAGGGUGCGUAGGCGGUUCGCCAAGUCAGGUGUGAAAUCCCCCGGCUCAACCGGGGAAUGGCGCUUGAAACUAGCAGACUGGAGCGAGGCAGGGGUGUGUGGAACUUCCGGUGGAGCGGUGAAAUGCGUAGAUAUCAGGAGGAACACCGGUGGCGAAGGCGGCUAUCUGGACAGAAACUGACGCUGAGGCGCGAAAGCUAGGGGAGCAAACAGG